AAGAAAUUAGUUAAUAAAUAACCUAGACUUGUCAAGUCUAAAUUAUCCUAUGGAUAUUUUUUA
rnacentral:tRNA from 1 species